GACCGCGUAGCUCAGUUGGAAGAGCACUUGGCUAGUAUUCCAAAGGUCGUAGGUUCGAAUCCCACCGUGGCCG
rnacentral:tRNA from 1 species